UACAUGGGGUGCAAACGUUGCUCGGAAUUAUUGGGCGUAAAGCGCACGUAGGCGGUUUGUUAAGUCGGAUGUGAAAUCCCUCGGCUCAACUGAGGAAGUGCAUCCGAAACUGGCAGGCUUGAGUACUAAAGAGGGUAGCGGAAUUCCCGGUGUAGAGGUGAAAUUCGUAGAUAUCGGGAGGAACACCGGUGGCGAAGGCGGCUACCUGGGUAGAUACUGACGCUGAGGUGCGAAAGCGUGGGGAGCAAACAGG
rnacentral:rRNA from 1 species